GACGAACGCUGGCGGCGUGCUUAACACAUGCAAGUCGAACGGUGAAGCCCUUCGGGGUGGAUCAGUGGCGAACGGGUGAGUAACACGUGGGCAAUCUGCCCUGCACUCUGGGACAAGCCCUGGAAACGGGGUCUAAUACCGGAUAUGACUCAAGGAUGCAUGUUCUUGAGUGGAAAGCUCCGGCGGUGCAGGAUGAGCCCGCGGCCUAUCAGCUUGUUGGUGGGGUGAUGGCCUACCAAGGCGACGACGGGUAGCCGGCCUGAGAGGGCGACCGGCCACACUGGGACUGAGACACGGCCCAGACUCCUACGGGAGGCAGCAGUGGGGAAUAUUGACAAUGGGCGAAAGCCUGAUCCAGCAACGCCGCGUGAGGGAUGACGGCCUUCGGGUUGUAAACCUCUUUCAGCGCAGACGAAGCGAAAGUGACGGUAUGCGCAGAAGAAGGACCGGCCAACUACGUGCCAGCCGCCGCAGUAAUAC
rnacentral:rRNA from 1 species